rnacentral:sRNA from 1 species
ACAAGAAUAUUCUAUCGACGGCCAUUACAAACGAAGGAGAAUUUAUCUUGA